UACAGAGGUCUCAAGCGUUGUUCGGAUUCAUUGGGCGUAAAGGGUGCGUAGGCGGCGCGGUAAGUCGGGUGUGAAAUCUCGGAGCUUAACUCCGAAACUGCAUUCGAUACUGCCGUGCUUGAGGACUGGAGAGGAGACUGGAAUUUACGGUGUAGCGGUGAAAUGCGUAGAGAUGCGGAGGAACACCAGUGGCGAAAGCGGCUUUCUGGUCCUUAACUGACGCUGAGGCGCGAAAGCAUGGGGAGCGAACGGG
rnacentral:rRNA from 1 species